rnacentral:rRNA from 1 species
CAAGCGUUGUCCGGAAUCAUUGGGCGUAAAGAGCGUGUAGGCGGCUAGAUAAGUCCGCUGUGAAAUCUCGAGGCUCAACUUCGAGCUGUCGGUGGAAACUGUCUGGCUAGAGUCCGGAAGAGGAGAAUGGAAUUCCUGGUGCAGCGGUGAAAUGCGCAGAUAUCAGGAGGAACACCAAUGGCGAAGGCAGCACUCUGGGACGUGACUGACGCUGAGACGCGAAAGCGUGGGGAGCAAACAGG